rnacentral:rRNA from 1 species
UACAGAGGUCCCAAGCGUUGUUCGGAUUUAUUGGGCGUAAAGGGAGCGUAGGCGGCGAGGUAAGUCAGGUGUUAAAAUUCGAAGCUCAACUUCGAAGCGCAUUUGAUACUGCUUUGCUCGAGGAGUGGAGAGGAGACAGGAAUUCACGGUGUAGCAGUGAAAUGCGUAGAUAUCGUGAGGAAGACCCAUGGCGAAAGCAUGUCUCUGGAAACUACCUGACGCUGAUGCUCGAAGGCCAGGGGAGCAAACGGG